rnacentral:rRNA from 1 species
AUUGAACGCUGGCGGCAGGCCUAACACAUGCAAGUCGAGCGGAUGAAGGGAGCUUACUCCUGGAUUCAGCGGCGGACGGGUGAGUAAUGCCUAGGAAUCUGCCUGGUAGUGGGGGAUAACGUCCGGAAACGGGCGCUAAUACCGCAUACGUCCUGAGGGAGAAAGUGGGGGAUCUUCGGACCUCACGCUAUCAGAUGAGCCUAGGUCGGAUUAGCUAGUUGGUGGGGUAAAGGCCUACCAAGGCGACGAUCCGUAACUGGUCUGAGCGGAUGAUCAGUCACACUGGAACUGAGACACGGUCCAGACUCCUACGGGAGGCAGCAGUGGGGAAUAUUGGACAAUGGGCGAAAGCCUGAUCCAGCCAUGCCGCGUGUGUGAAGAAGGCCUUCGGAUUGUAAAGCACUUUAAGUUGGGAGGAAGGGCAGUAAGUUAAUACCUUGCUGUUUUGACGUUACCAACAGAAUAAGCACCGGCUAACUUCGUG